AUUGAACGCUGGCGGCAUGCCUAACACAUGCAAGUCGAACGGUAACGACGGGAGCUUGCUCCCGGGCGACGAGUGGCGGACGGGUGAGUAAUACUUAGGAAUCUGCCCAGUAGUGGGGGACAACUCGAGGAAACUCGAGCUAAUACCGCAUACGCCCUACGGGGGAAAGCGGGGGAUCUUCGGACCUCGCGCUAUUGGAUGAGCCUAAGUCGGAUUAGCUUGUAGGUAGGGUAACGGCCUACCUAGGCGACGAUCCGUAGCUGGUCUGAGAGGACGAUCAGCCACACUGGAACUGAGACACGGUCCAGACUCCUACGGGAGGCAGCAGUGGGGAAUAUUGGACAAUGGGCGCAAGCCUGAUCCAGCAAUGCCGCGUGUGUGAAGAAGGCCUGCGGGUUGUAAAGCACUUUCAGUAGAGAAGAAAAGCUUACGGUUAAUACCUGUGAGUCUUGACGUAACCUACAGAAGAAGCACCGGCUAACUCCGUG
rnacentral:rRNA from 1 species